rnacentral:rRNA from 1 species
AGGAACACGUGAAGAAUCUGCCUUCAACUCUGGGAUAACUCCGGGAAACCGGGGCUAAUAUCGGAUAUGAGCCUUGAUCGCAUGAUCGGGGCUGGAAAGUUUUUCGGUUGAAGAUGACUUCGCGGCCUAUCGGCUUGUUGGUGAGGUAAUGGCUCACCAAGGCGACGACGGGUAGCCGGCCUGAGAGGGCGACCGGCCACACUGGGACUGAGACACGGCCCAGACUCCUACGGGAGGCAGCAGUGGGGAAUAUUGGGCAAUGGAGGAAACUCUGACCCAGCGACGCCGCGUGCGGGAUGAAGGCCCUCGGGUUGUAAACCGCUUUCAGCAGGGAAUAAGCGCAAGUGAAGGUACCUGCAGAAGAAGCACCGGCUAACUAUGUGCCAGCAGCCGCGGUAAUACAUAGGGUGCAAGCGUUGUCCGGAAUUAUUGGGCGUAAAGAGCUCGUAGGUGGUUUGUUACGUCGGUUGUGAAAUUCAGGGGCUCAACCCCUGACUUGCAGCCGAUACGGGCAAGCUAGAGUUUGGUAGGGGAGACUGGAAUUCCUGGUGUAGCGGUGGAAUGCGCAGAUAUCAGGAGGAACACCGAUGGCGAAGGCAGGUCUCUGGGCCAAUACUGACACUGAGGAGCGAAAGCGUGGGGAGCGAACAGGAUUAGAUACCCUGGUAGUCCACGCCGUA